rnacentral:rRNA from 1 species
UUCGCAAUGCCCGAAAGGGUGACGAAGCGACGCCGCGUGGGUGAGGAAGGCCCUCGGGUUGUAAAGCCCUGUCAGGAGUUAAGAAAUGUAGAUACGCUAAUAUCGUAUCUAUUUGACAAAGGCUCCAAAGGAAGCCACGGCUAACUCUGUGCCAGCAGCCGCGGUAAUACAGAGGUGGCAAGCGUUGUUCGGAAUUAUUGGGCGUAAAGAGCACGUAGGUGGGUUUGUAAGUCAGAUGUGAAAGCCUUCUGUUCAACGGAAGAAUUGCAUCUGAAACUGCGAGUCUUGAGUGUAGGAGGGGAGAAUGGAACUUCUGGUGGAGCGGCGAAAUGCGUAGAUAUCAGAAGGAACGCCGGCGGCGAAAGCGAUUCUCUGGCCUAUUACUGACACUCAGUGUGCGAAAGCUAGGGGAGCAAACGGGAUUAGAUACCCCGGUAGUCCUAGCCGUAAACGAUGGGCACUAAGUAGAGGGGUUUU